AAUGAGUUUUAUUUUACUUUAAAAAAAAAUAAGUUCACGUCUCUAUAAAACCUUAAACAUCAUGAAUUAUUUACUUGAUUAAGAAAGUGCGCAUAGCAACAAAAACUCUUUCACGCACGAAGCGCAUGAUACGAAUAAUAUUAUUUUUUUUAAUCAAACAAAGUGCAUGACAUGAGUAAUAUUGUCAUCGGCCACCACAGC
rnacentral:lncRNA from 1 species